rnacentral:rRNA from 1 species
UGGGGAAUUUUGGACAAUGGGCGAAAGCCUGAUCCAGCAAUGCCGCGUGUGUGAAGAAGGCCUUCGGGUUGUAAAGCACUUUUGUCCGGAAAGAAAUCCUUGGCUCUAAUACAGUCGGGGGAUGACGGUACCGGAAGAAUAAGCACCGGCUAACUACGUGCCAGCAGCCGCGGUAAUACGUAGGGUGCAAGCGUUAAUCGGAAUUACUGGGCGUAAAGCGUGCGCAGGCGGUUUGCUAAGACCGAUGUGAAAUCCCCGGGCUCAACCUGGGAACUGCAUUGGUGACUGGCAGGCUAGAGUAUGGCAGAGGGGGGUAGAAUUCCACGUGUAGCAGUGAAAUGCGUAGAGAUGUGGAGGAAUACCGAUGGCGAAGGCAGCCCCCUGGGCCAAUACUGACGCUCAUGCACGAAAAGCGUGGGGGAGCAAAACAGGAUUAGAUACCCCUGGUAGUCCACGCCCUAAACGAUGUCAACUAGUUGUUGGGGAUUCAUUUCCUUAGUAACGUAGCUAACGCGUGAAGUUGACCGCCU